rnacentral:rRNA from 1 species
GUGUCAGCAGCCGCGGUAAUACGUAGGGAGCGAGCGUUGUCCGGAAUCAUUGGGCGUAAAGCGCGUGUAGGCGGCUUGCAAAGUCUGGUGUGAAAUCUCUCGGCUCAACCGGGAGCGGUCACUGGAUACUGGCAGGCUUGAGUCCGGAAGAGGAGAGUGGAAUUCCUGGUGUAGCGGUGGAAUGCGCAGAUAUCAGGAGGAACACCUAUGGCGAAGGCAGCUCUCUGGUACGUGACUGACGCUGAGACGCGAAAGCGUGGGGAGCGAACAGGAUUAGAAACCCUAGUAGUCC